rnacentral:rRNA from 1 species
CCUACAGGAGGCAGCAGUGGGGAAUUUUGGACAAUGGGCGCAAGCCUGAUCCAGCAAUGCCGCGUGUCUGAAGACGGCCUUCGGGUUGUAAAGGUCUUUUGUCAGGGAAGAAAAGGCUGUUGCUAAUAUCGACAGCUGAUGACGGUAGCUGAAGAAUAAGCACCGGCUAACUACGUGCCAGCAGCCGCGGUAAUACGGAGGGUGUGAGCGUUAAUCGGAAUUACUGGACGUAAAGCGAGCGCAGACGGUUACUUAAGCAGGAUGUGAAAUCCCCGGGCUCAACCUGGGAACUGCGUUCUGAACUGGGUGACUAGAGUGUGUCAGAGGGAGGUAGAAUUCCACGUGUAGCUGUGAAAUGCGUAGAGAUGUGGAGGAAUACCGAUGGCGAAGGCAGCCUCCUGGGAUAACACUGACGUUCAUGCUCGAAAGCGUGGGUAGCAAACAGGAUUAGAUACCCCGGUAGUC